ACUCAGCAUAUUGUUCCUCAGUCUGAUCUUGAAAAAAAAAGUUUUGGUUGUGAUAUAUGGGGAAAUCCUUUACAUAUUUGAUCUGAUUUUUAUGUAAAAUCUCUAGAAGAGAUUAGGAACUUUUCAGCAGAGCUUGUCAUCAGCUUUCUGAAAUUUGCUCUUUCUUUUUCAUACGUUGGUAAAUAACCAUUACCAAAUGUUUUACAGAGCUUCGUGCUUACUGUUUGUUGACAGUGUGGCUGUCUCUUUUCCUUUUCAUAUUAGGUGACUUUAAAAUUUACUGGCCAUUCACAAAUUUCUUUU
rnacentral:lncRNA from 1 species